GAUAGCCCGCCAGCCCAAACAAACCAAAAAAAAAAAUGAUGAAGACUCCCACAGGGAGUCUUCUUCUCCCGACCGGCUCCUAAUCGGAGUCGGAAACCUCACCGGAGAGGAGUCAAACUCCUCUCCUUUGGUUCUAUUUAAAGGGGAGACCCUUCUCCCUUCUUCCUACCAAAGAAUCCCGGGGCAAAAUGACGGCAAUCGCCGGAAAUUUCUUCACGGAGACCCGUCCUUGUGCCGUCCAAUUUCUCGUCGGAAAAGCCUCGCCGGCGACGGAGGUAAGCCUCCUCCCCUUCCUCUCUCCUCCCCCUUCCUUCCCGUGCCGAUGUGCACGCUCGCCGGCGAUCGGAGUCGCUGGAUUUUGUUGCGGUAGAAUCUUC
rnacentral:lncRNA from 1 species